AAUCAGGAAUUGUAUAAAAGAUUUUUAUUUCACUACUCUAGAGCUCAAGACCCAACAUAUCCACUUAAAACAGGGUCAUUCCCUCUGCAUCCUUUAAUGA